rnacentral:lncRNA from 1 species
GUGAGUCACUCCGCCAGGUGCACUCCAUCCUCAGCCCCACUUCUCAAUGCCCCCUGCCCCUGGAGUCCUUCGCUGCAUCCCCCACUGAGAGCUGAGGACACCAGGACAUGGGGUCUUUCCUACCCUCACCUGCAUCCGGGAAACCUUGCAGCCUUGUCCCAGGCCAAACAGGACCCUCUGGAGUCCAGGGUAAUCCUGCUUCUUGAGGCUCACCGCCCCCUCCGCACCCCUGGCCUCUAGGGCAGAGCUUGGCAUGCAGUAGACAUUAAACAAACACUAAAGAAAUGCCUUACAUUCUUCUUCUUUUUAAAAAACCCCCAAACUCCUUUCUGGUCCUUCGUCUGCCCUAGGCCCUCUGGGUCAAGAUAAUCCUCUCAGAGGCAGUGUGCAAGGUGGUCAGGAGUCCAAAGGGUACAAAGAAUUAGCUGGGGACCUUGCAGGGGUGAGCGUGCUACACACAGGCCGGUUGCUCACAGGGACAAAAAGCAAGUAGUGGUAGGGAGAGGGGAAAGGAAACUCAGCUUUCAUGUUAACACCGCUUGGUAUCAUCUGAAUCUUGCCAUACAACACCUCCAACCUUCAAAUGUUCCUGGAAAAGCCCUUGGGAGUUUGAAUCUGAGCUCUGCAGCUGAUAAGCUGCGUGCAACCAGGGGCAGAUGGUGGCAGGACUUCCCAGGCUCAGUUUGUACGUCUGGGAAAUGGAGGCGGUCACGCGGUUCACAGAGGGUGGGUGAGUACCCCUCAUGGCAGCUGUGAUGAUACUCAUGUGAGCAGCUUCCCUUCAGCCCUCUCACUCCCGUUCCCUCCCCUGAGGGAGCCUGUCCUCCAGUCUGGCUGUGGGGACCCACUGGACCUUCUUGAUGGUGCCCCUUCUUCUGCAGCCCCCCAGCCCAGGCUGCUCCUCGGGCAGGAGAUGAACAAUUCUGCAGCAGCAGGCCCAUCCUAGACCCCACCUGGCCCUCUGGAGGGCCCCUCCAAGGAGCCCUCACCCCGCCCCCCCACCAUGCUGCCCCUGCAGGUGGCCCUCCGGGUACCACAUGAUGCCUUGCUGCCUCCCUACGUGGAAGGCUCGUGGCUGACCCUCGAAGCCCGCAUCCAGCCUGCGCUAAACUGGGCCAUGAAGCUCUAUGUGGAUGAGUGUGUGGGCUCCCAGACCCAGUACCGGAACCGCUCUCGGAAGAUGUACAUCCUUGUCUUCAACCGUGGGUGCCUCUCAGUAGGCCCCCAUUCUGGCCCUUGGUCCCGGCAGAAUAAUGAGACGCUGCAGUUCAGCGUGGAGGCCUUCAUGCUCGACGAGGAUGAGGUGUAUAUCACCUGCUGGACGAGCGUCUCGAGUUGGAUGGGACCCUUUAAGCCUGGCCGGAAGUCCUGUUUUUAUAACACCUCCUCGUACAGGUAAGCAUUUCCUGUUUCAAGUUGUGGAACACGGGGCAAACUCCUUCCCCAUUUUGGGCCUCAGGGGCCCCAUCUCUGAAAUGAAAGCAUUGGCCACCGUGAUGUGUGGGCCCUGGGUUCUGGAAGCUGGGCAAUGGGGACAGGUGAGAGGCCUCAGCUGGCUCUGUCCCAGGAUGCUUCACCCACACCAUGGGAAGUCCUUAUCCCGGAAAUGUGGAUGGCCUCUCCUUGGUACAGGCAAACUAGGGAAAGGAAGUUCCAGAGAGGCCAAGUGACUGCCCACUGUCACACAGCUAAUAUGGCCAUACUGCGACUGGGAUUCGGGGCAGGCCCUCUCUCCCGGGGAAGACUGUGACCCUCUUACCCUCCUGCCUGGCAUGUCUUUCCAUCUGGACUGUUGGCAGCUGUCAGCUUGCAGAUGAUAAGUGGGAAAGCUCGAUGUGUGACUGCUGUGACUUUGGCUGUUCCCACCCAAAGAAAGGUCGGCACCAUGAUCAGGCAGGCAGGACCAGAUCAGGGGGCCACUGGGGGCCUUCGGCUUGUGUGGGCUGAUGGAUGUCACUGAAUCUGUCAUGGGCUCAGGCUCUGGGCUGGGAGGUGGGGGCCGUGAAGGGAUCAUGGCUCUGGUGGAGUCAGCUGUGGGCUGGCCGGUGACCUCCAGCUGCCUCUCCUGUCCCAUGGGUGCUUUGAGGAAGAAGCUCUCUCUGCUCAGUGCCAGGGCCUCUGAUGGGAGGUGCUAAUAACUUAUUCCCCCUAUAACCAUCCCAGACAAUUCAGAUUCUUCAAAAAGAUAUAAUCCUAUAAUUCAGACCGUCCCUCUCUAACAUCUUAGUGUAUCAUAUCCAGAUGGCUUUGGUUAUUUAUACAUGUGAGUAUAAGGGUCCAGUCUUUGAGAUAUUCUAUGACAUGCUUCUAUAAUACUCUGCGACAACUCUGUAGGUCAGAUCUCCCUUUUACGUUUAUGAUGGUGUAAUAAUCUAUGGAAUUGGAGGUUCUAGAACUGAACCCAUACCGUGUGGCUGGAUAUUUGUAUUCUUCAGUUAUUGUCUCUUAAACCCUGCUAGGUUGACCCCUCACUGCUCCCUGUCCCUAUUUAGCAGAUGAAAACACACACAUGCUUGGGGUGUAGCCCAGCUCUGGGCCUCUGCCCAGAGGGGUUGGGGUUGGGUGGGAGGAAGAUGCCAGGGCUAACAGCUUCCCCUCCACAGAGUUCCCUGGGGAAGAGACACCUAUAUGGUGGUCACGGGGCUGCAGAAAGUCAAGAAGCCCCCAGUGUUGUAGUUUACGGGUAAGUGCAGGGCUGGGCCGCAGCCUAGGCCCUAAAAGGACUGGUUCCUCCACCACCAUCCAGGUUCAUGGACACUUGUUCUUGGUCCUGUCCCCCCUGCCCAGUCCAUCUCAAGCCACACCCCGCUUCCCUUCAAGUUUCUGGCUUUUCUUUUUCCACUGCAGUAAGGAACUCUGGGCUCAUAAUCAGCUCAGGCUAGGCGGCCACACCUCUGGGUAGUCCUGCAGCAUCCUUGGCCCCAGCCUCCUGCAGGACACUGAAGGACCUGCUAGUGGUGCUGCUGGCUUUCAGCCGUGUCACCGCUGCUGAUCCUGUUCCUGCUGACCCUGAAGGUGCUCAAGACCUUCCAGCUGUCCUCCCGGCUGCCAGGGACCACGUUGAGGGAGGCCCUGGCCAAUCUGGAUGCCCAGGAGAUGGGUCCAGUGGUCAGGGCAAUGGAAAGACUCUCUUCUGAGGAGGAGAUUGACUCGAUGUCCCAGUCUGCUGUCGAGGAAAGCUGGGAGGCAGCGGGCCCUUCAGAAAACUAAACAACCCUUUUAUAUACGUACAAUAAAGUUUUCUAUUUCUCUAGGGCUGAUCUUGCCUUAACUCUCUCUGGCACUCUUGUGUUGGUACUAUGUGUUGGGGGGUGACCUCUGAACCGUGUGAUGUGGAAGUGGAUUCUCUGGAGAGGCU